rnacentral:lncRNA from 1 species
UAUUUUGAAAAGUUUGACUACACCCUGCUUCGGAGGUUGCCUACAUAUCCUUGGCUAAAAGGAAUUAGGUCAGUGUAGUUCGAGAAUAUUUGGUAGCUGGGACUGCCAUGAAGCUGUGAUUUCACUGCUGAUAUUGCUGCUACUACUGCUUACUAUAUCCCCUUAUUACACCAUGUCAAAAUAAAAAGAAACUAGUCUGAGCUACGAUCUAUGGAUUAUAAAAGAACCUAUCUAGGUCUUCAAACUUGCUUAUGAUCCUUGCUGCCUUGUUGACUUGUAUUCUUCCCGUGAAACUCCUUUUGCUUACUUGAAUUGUAAUAUGUUAUGUUUUCUUUUCUCCAGGUGGAUGCCUGAUUACUGAAUUCGAUUUGAGUUCCAUAUUCUUCAGGUGGAUUCCUGAUUGCCGAAACUUUGAGUGGUGUUCCCUUUAUUCUCCAUGUGGGGUCCUGACAGCCAAAACUUGAACUAUAUUCCCUUGUUCUUCAGGUGGCCGCUUGAUUGCCGAAACUUGCAUUGAAUUCCCUUGUUCUCAAGGCAGGAACCUAAUUACCGACACUUGAAUUGUAUUCCCUUGUUCUCCAGGUGGGCUCCUAACUAGCAAAACUUGAAUUGUAUUUCCUUGUUCUCCAGGUGAGCUCCUGGCCACCAAAACUUAGAAUUGUACUCCCUUGUUCUCCAGACGCGCUAUUGAUUGCUGAAACUUGAGCUGUAUUCCCAUGUUUUCCAGGUGGGCGCAUGAUUCCCGAAACAUUAAAUUGUAUUAACUUGUUCUCUUUGUAGGCUCCUGAUUAUCGAAACUUUGAAUUAUAUUCCUUCAUUCUUCAAGCAGGCUCCUGACUACCGAAACUUGAAUUGCACUCCCUUGUUCUUGAGGCGGGCACCUGAUUAUCGACACUUGAAUUGUAUUUCCUUGUUCUCCAGAUGGGCUCCUCACUACCAAAACUUGAAUUGUAUUCCCUUGUUCUCCGGGUGGACUCUUGAUUACCAAAACUCAAAUUAUAUUCCCUCGUUCUACAGGUGAGCGCCUGAUUGCCAAAAACUUGAACUAUAUUCCCUCGUAAUUUAGGUGGGCUCCUGAUUGCCAAAACUUGAAUUGUAUUCCAUUGUUCUCUAGGUGGGCUCCUAAUUGCCAAAACUUGAAUUGUAUUCCCUUGCUUUCCAGGUGAGCGCCUGAUUAUCGACACUUGGAUUGUAUUCCCUUGUUAUCGAGGUGAGCUCCUGACUGCCGAAACUUGAAUUGUAUUCCCUUGUUCUCCAGGCGGGCUUCUAAUUACCAAAUCUCGAAUUAUAUUCCUUCGUUCUUCAGGUGGGCGCCUGAUUGCCAAAAACUUGAACUAUAUUCCCUCGUUCUUCUGUUGGGUUUCAGAUUGCCACAACUUGAAUUGUAUUCCCUUGUUCUCCAAGUGGGCGCCUGAUUGCCAAAAAUGAAAUUGUAUUCCCUUGUUCUCUAGGUGGGUGCCUGAUUUUAACGAAAAUAGACAAAACAAAGAAAUUUCCUACUCCAAUUUAAUAGCUGGGUACAUAUGUGAGUGUUAAACUGAAUUAUGUUACCAAAUAUUCUAAGAAUUUGAACACUAGAUCCUAUUAUCUAGGAGGGUCCUCACAACUCUUAGUUAAAUAACACUUUUAAAACCUGAAUUAUAUUUUCUAAAAGUGUGACUUCCACUAAAUCUGGUUAUCUAAGAAAGUAUUAAAGUUGCAUCCCAUUAUCCAAGAAGUUCCUGACAACUCUUAACUAACGACAAUUUUAAACUAAGCUAUAUAUUCUGAAGGUAUAACUUUCACUAACCUUGUUAUAUAAGAAAGCCUUAAAAUACAUCCCAUUAUCCAGGAGGGUCCUGCCAACUCUUAACUAAAGACAAUUUUAAAACUAAGCCCCAUCUUCUAAAGGUAUUACUCCAAUUAACCUAAGAAAGACUUAAAACUACAUCCCAUUAUCCAGGAGGGUCCUGCCAACUCUUAACUAAAGAUAAUUUUAAAACUAAGCUAUAUCUCCUAAAGGUAUUACUUCCGCUAUGUCUAGUUGUCUCAGAAAAUAUUGAGGCUACGUCCCAUUAUACAGGAGGGUCCUGACAACUCUUAGCUAACGACAAUUUUGACUCUAAGCUACAUCUUCUAAAUGUACAGCUUUCACUAUGUCUUGUUAUCUAAACCAACCUUAAAACUAUGUCCCAUUAUCCAGGACGGUCUUGACAACUCCUAGUUGAAUCAUAUGUCAAGCAAACUUUGGAACCAACUUAUCUUCCUGUGGGGUUCAUUUAUGCUAGAUUAGGCUAUUCAUGAUUGUCUCAACAGCGCCAUAUUGCAAUAGAGUAACAAAAAAGUAUAUAGUACUAACGAAAAUGGUCAAAUCAUAACUCAUGAAGCAGGACUAAGCACAAGCAUGACACAAAAAUAUUAAAUAUCAUUUUUACAAAGUGAAAUAUUCUGAAAAUUCAGAUAAGCAAUUCCAUGACACCAUUCAUUGAAUAACAAAUGAAAAGUUGAAAUAGGUUCAAAGUUAAUAGGAUGGAGCAAUAGACACAACACUAAUCAGGAGCAAACAUCAUAUCUCAUUUAUGAACAUCAACAUGAAUGAUCCUAGAUGAAGAACUACAUACCUAUAGAAGCAAAAACCAAAGGGAAACAAAAUGAAACUCUGGCUGAAGCUAGAAAAGAAACAGUAGCAAGAACAAACAACAUAACAAGAAAUCAAACAAAAACCAAAGAAACAACAUGUGACUUGAACUCUUCCAGAAUUAGAAUAAACAAUACCGGGUGAACCAGUAGGGAAACUUUAACAAAAGCUGAUUUUGAGAGAAAGAAAAUGAAAGGAGCUUUUUUCUUUUUCUCUUAUGUGUAUUUAGAGAAGUUUUUAGGUGAAU